CUUUCGUUCUCCUCCUCCCCUCCGAGUCUUCGACGAGAGCGCAUUCCGGCCUCGCGCCCUAGCCGCAACCCCCAGGUGUAGGCGGCGGCGCUCGUCUACCUCUGCACCCCGUCCGCGCGGCGCCGUCCGCCAUGCCAGCAGCACUGGAGAUCUGAUGUAAGAGACUGGACUGCAUUCCACGGGUGAAGUACUACUACGAUUGAAGCUGUGAGAGUGGAUUGCAAGUUCGCUGGUGCUCUGGCAUACUGUCACAAGAAGCAGGUAAUUCACACGGACAUCAAGCCGGAAAGUUUGCCUACUGAUUUCGAGAAGGAGCUUCAAGAUCUCUUCGUAACAGCUGAUGUAAGCGUUUGGACUGCAUUCCACUGGUGAAGUUCACUUAAAUUGAAGUUGUGGGAGGUAUGGAGAUCAUUACAGACACUACUUGCCCUCAGUACCUUAUUAGGAUAGGUAUUAGUGGGUGUUCUAAAACUGAUUGGACUGCGUUCCACUGGUGAAGUUUACUUAAAUUGAAGUUGUGGGAGGUAUGGAGAUCAUUACAGACACUACUUGCUCUCAGUACCUUAUUAGGAUAGGUAUUAGUGGGUGUUCUAAAACUGUACGUAUCUACUCAUGUUUGCAUUGUUGAAAGUAGUAAAAUUUCUGAUCGUUAA